rnacentral:tRNA from 1 species
CGGCGUAGCUCAGUUGGUAGAGCACCUGACUUUUAAUCAGGUUGUUACAGGUUGGAUCCCUGUCGC